rnacentral:rRNA from 1 species
CCUGAGUAAAGUGGCGUACGGGUGAGUAACACGUGGGUAAUCUACCUUUUGGUGGGGGAUAACCCUGGGAAACCGGGGCUAAUACCGCAUAAUCUCGAAAGAGCAAAGGAGCAAUUCGCCGAAAGAAGAGCCCGCGGCUGAUUAGCUAGUUGGUAGGGUAAUGGCCUACCAAGGCUUUGAUCGGUAGCCGGCCUGAGAGGGCACACGGCCACACUGGCACUGAAACACGGGCCAGACUCCUACGGGAGGCAGCAGUGGGGAAUCUUGCACAAUGGGGGCAACCCUGAUGCAGCGACGCCGCGUGAGCGAUGAAGCCUUUCGGGGUGUAAAGCUCUUUCGACAGGAACGAUAAUGACGGUACCUGGAGAAGAAGCUGCGGCUAACUACGUGCCAGCAGCCGCGGUAAUACGUAGGCAGCAAGCGUUGUUCGGAGUUACUGGGCGUAAAGAGUGCGUAGGCGGUCCUAUAAGUUCCGUGUGAAAUCUCCCGGCUCAACUGGGAGGGUGCGCGGAAGACUGUAGGGCUUGAGUGUGGGAGAGGUAAGCGGAAUUCCUGGUGUAGCGGUGAAAUGCGUAGAUAUCAGGAGGAACACCUGUGGUGUAGACAGCUUACUGGACCAUAACUGACGCUGAGGCACGAAAGCGUGGGUAGCAAACAGGAUUAGAUACCCUGGUAGUCCACGCCCUA